CCUACGGGGGGCAGCAGUAGGGAAUCUUUCACAAUGGGCGAAAGCCUGAUGGAGCAACGCCGCGUGCAGGAUGAAGGCCUUCGGGUUGUAAACUUCUUUUAUAAGCGAGAAAUAUGAUGGUAACUUAUGAAUAAGGAUCGGCUAACUACGUGCCAGCAGCCGCGGUCAUACGUAGGAUCCGAGCAUUAUCCGGAGUGACUGGGUGUAAAGAGUUGCGUAGGUGGCAUAAUAAGUAGCUAGUGAAAUCUGGUGGCUCAACCAUUCAGACUAUUAGCUAAACUGUUAAGCUCGAGACCGUUAGGGGUAACUGGAAUUUCUAGUGUAGGAGUGAAAUCCGUAGAUAUUAGGAGGAACACCAAUAGCGUAGGCAGGUUGCUGGGACGGUUCUGACACUAAGGCACGAAAGCGUAGGGAGCAAACGGGAUUAGAUACCCGUGUAGUC
rnacentral:rRNA from 1 species